rnacentral:tRNA from 1 species
CGGGACGUGGCGCAGCCUGGUAGCGCGCACCCUUGGGGUGGGUGAGGUCCCGAGUUCGAAUCUCGGCGUCCCGACCA